UACGGAGGGUGCGAGCGUUGUCCGGAAUCAUUGGGCGUAAAGGGCGCGUAGGUGGCGCGGCAAGCGUGCGGUGAAAGCUCGGGGCUCAACCCCGAGUCGGCCGUGCGAACUGCUGUGCUUGAGCACUGUAGAGGCAGGCGGAAUUCCGGGUGUAGCGGUGGAAUGCGUAGAGAUCCGGAAGAACACCGGUGGCGAAGGCGGCCUGCUGGGCAGUGGCUGACACUGAGGCACGAAAGCCAGGGGAGCGAACGGG
rnacentral:rRNA from 1 species